GGGAAUUUUGGACAAUGGGGGCAACCCUGAUCCAGCCAUGCCGCGUNCGGGAAGAAGGCCUUCGGGUUGUAAACCGCUUUUAUUCGGAAAGAAGGAGUCGCGGUUAAUACCUGCGAUGACGGACGGUACCGGAUGAAUAAGCACCGGCUAACUACGUGCCAGCAGCCGCGGUAAUACGUAGGGUGCGAGCGUUAAUCGGAAUUACUGGGCGUAAAGCGUGCGCAGGCGGUUCUGAAAGUCAGCUGUGAAAGCCCCGGGCUUAACCUGGGAAUUGCGGUUGAAACUACAGGGCUAGAAUCUGGCAGAGGGGGGUGGAAUUCCACGUGUAGCAGUGAAAUGCGUAGAGAUGUGGAGGAACACCGAUGGCGAAGGCAGCCCCCUGGGCUGAGAUUGACGCUCAGGCACGAAAGCGUGGGGAGCAAACAGGAUUAGAUACCCUGGUAGUCCACGCCCUAAACGAUGUCAACUAGGUGUUGGGAGCGCAAGUUCUCAGUACCGCAGCUAACCGCGUGAAGUUGAAAAGGGCUGGGGAGUACGGUCGCAAGAUUAAAACU
rnacentral:rRNA from 1 species